GUGGCAUCUCCCUUCUUCUCUACAAUGAGGAGCAAUCUCACAUCCAGGGUCCCCUUCAGCAUCUUCUGCUAGACUUAAUACCAGUGAGGCGAUGGUGAAGGAAGGGUAUAUAGAACUUGCUAUAGGCACAACAAUCCCCGCGCAGGAGCCGCUGUAAUCAUCGCCGUCCACGCGAAGCGCCGGGAAGAAAGCACCCAGAUACUACCGGAGAAGAGGCGACGAGGGGGGAAGGCUCUGGUGGUGUGGACGAGCGGUGGCGGGGGGCGUCAGGCGGGCGGGCGGGCGACGACGCCGUGCGAGUGCCUGAAGGAGCGGCGGCGCGACGAGGAGGGGGGAAGGAGACGGCGC